GACAGAGGGUGCAAACGUUGCUCGGAUUUACUGGGCGUAAAGGGCGCGUAGGCGGUUUGCUAAGUUGGAUGUGAAAACUCUGGGCUUAACCCAGAGCCUGCAUCCAAAACUGGCAAACUUGAGUACUGGAGGGGAAAGCGGAAUUCCUGGUGUAGCGGUGAAAUGCGUAGAUAUCAGGAGGAACACCGGUGGCGAAGGCGGCUUUCUGGACAGUAACUGACGCUGAGGCGCGAAAGCUAGGGGAGCAAACAGG
rnacentral:rRNA from 1 species